AUAUGUAUAAUGAUUACAAAUGUUUAAAUUUCUUAAUACCACAAGUUCUAUAGAUUCUUGUAGUUACAAUGAUUUAUGGGCAAACAUUUGUUGUACACAAUAUCAUUGAGCAAGGUAUGAACUUUGAAUAUGCUACAAACAUAUGAGCAUUGGCUUAUUCAACAUGCAUCAAAAGUAUGUUCAUCAUCUAUAAACACAAAUGUGAAAAGAACAGAUGAUCUGUAAGCUUCAAAUGCUAGAUUUGAGAUCUUCAGAGAACAAGACAGAUUUCCAAGCAGGAUUUCUGGGUACAAAAGUCUUACAGAGAUGUAAGAGCAGGUGGGGAUAACGGAUAACUUAUUGGAUUGAGCGUGAUUAAAGGCGGCAACAGAGAGAUGUGAAGCUAACCCUAAACCCCUCUUGCUUGAGGGGACGAAGGUGUGAGUAAUAUCCAUAACUUUUCCACCAUUUCUUAACUCGUACUCUAUGUAUGCUUUCUUGUCCUCUGUUUCAAACCUUUUGUCCCUCUCGUUCCAUACUAUCUUCGGAGCCUCCGCCGUUGCUCCGCCGCUCCCCGUCGCCAUUUCUUUGUU
rnacentral:lncRNA from 1 species